rnacentral:lncRNA from 1 species
AGACAGUGGUCCCCAUUCCUGGAGCAGGGCCACAUCUCCACAUCUCAGCAGAGACUGGCGACAUUCAGCUCCUCCCCAGUGUUACCAACAUAGGAGCCAAGUCCUUGCCCACGCACCGUCUCACCUCACCAACUUGAGUUCCAUGUUAAUUCUGAUCUUCCGUCCACAAAAUGAUCUGCAAAGGAUGGGAAAGGAGGGAAAGCUGUUCCUCUCCCUCAGGACGAGAGCAUCCGCCCAACGGUGGAGAAGCCUGGGAUGGUUCGGGAGGUGGAAGGU